rnacentral:rRNA from 1 species
UAAGCGACUAAGCGUACACGGUGGAUGCCCUGGCAGUCAGAGGCGAUGAAGGACGUGCUAAUCUGCGAUGAGCGUCGGUAAGGUGAUAUGAACCGUUAUAACCGGCGAUUUCCGAAUGGGGAAACCCAGUGUGAUUCGUCACACUAUCAUUAACUGAAUCCAUAGGUUAAUGAGGCGAACCGGGGGAACUGAAACAUCUAAGUACCCCGAGGAAAAGAAAUCAACCGAGAUUCCCCCAGUAGCGGCGAGCGAACGGGGAGGAGCCCAGAGCCUGAAUCAGUGUGUGUGUUAGUGGAAGCGUCUGGAAAGGCGCGCGAUACAGGGUGACAGCCCCGUACACAAAAAUGCACAUGCUGUGAGCUCGAUGAGUAGGGCGGGACACGUGGUAUCCUGUCUGAAUAUGGGGGGACCAUCCUCCAAGGCUAAAUACUCCUGACUGACCGAUAGUGAACCAGUACCGUGAGGGAAAGGCGAAAAGAACCCCGGCGAGGGGAGUGAAAAAGAACCUGAAACCGUGUACGUACAAGCAGUGGGAGCACAGAGCAAUCUGUGUGACUGCGUACCUUUUGUAUAAUGGGUCAGCGACUUAUAUUCUGUAGCAAGGUUAACCGAAUAGGGGAGCCGAAGGGAAACCGAGUCUUAACUGGGCGUUAAGUUGCAGGGUAUAGACCCGAAACCCGGUGAUCUAGCCAUGGGCAGGUUGAAGGUUGGGUAACACUAACUGGAGGACCGAACCGACUAAUGUUGAAAAAUUAGCGGAUGACUUGUGGCUGGGGGUGAAAGGCCAAUCAAACCGGGAGAUAGCUGGUUCUCCCCGAAAGCUAUUUAGGUAGCGCCUCGUGAAUUCAUCUCCGGGGGUAGAGCACUGUUUCGGCAAGGGGGUCAUCCCGACUUACCAACCCGAUGCAAACUGCGAAUACCGGAGAAUGUUAUCACGGGAGACACACGGCGGGUGCUAACGUCCGUCGAGAAGAGGGAAACAACCCAGACCGCCAGCUAAGGUCCCAAAGUCAUGGUUAAGUGGGAAACGAUGUGGGAAGGCCCAGACAGCCAGGAUGUUGGCUUAGAAGCAGCCAUCAUUUAAAGAAAGCGUAAUAGCUCACUGGUCGAGUCGGCCUGCGCGGAAGAUGUAACGGGGCUAAACCAUGCACCGAAGCUGCGGCAGCGACACUGUGUGUUGUUGGGUAGGGGAGCGUUCUGUAAGCCUGUGAAGGUGUGCUGUGAGGCAUGCUGGAGGUAUCAGAAGUGCGAAUGCUGACAUAAGUAACGAUAAAGCGGGUGAAAAGCCCGCUCGCCGGAAGACCAAGGGUUCCUGUCCAACGUUAAUCGGGGCAGGGUGAGUCGACCCCUAAGGCGAGGCCGAAAGGCGUAGUCGAUGGGAAACAGGUUAAUAUUCCUGUACUUGGUGUUACUGCGAAGGGGGGACGGAGAAGGCUAUGUUGGCCGGGCGACGGUUGUCCCGGUUUAAGCGUGUAGGCUGGUUUUCCAGGCAAAUCCGGAAAAUCAAGGCUGAGGCGUGAUGACGAGGCACUACGGUGCUGAAGCAACAAAUGCCCUGCUUCCAGGAAAAGCCUCUAAGCAUCAGGUAACAUCAAAUCGUACCCCAAACCGACACAGGUGGUCAGGUAGAGAAUACCAAGGCGCUUGAGAGAACUCGGGUGAAGGAACUAGGCAAAAUGGUGCCGUAACUUCGGGAGAAGGCACGCUGAUAUGUAGGUGAAGUCCCUCGCGGAUGGAGCUGAAAUCAGUCGAAGAUACCAGCUGGCUGCAACUGUUUAUUAAAAACACAGCACUGUGCAAACACGAAAGUGGACGUAUACGGUGUGACGCCUGCCCGGUGCCGGAAGGUUAAUUGAUGGGGUCAGCGCAAGCGAAGCUCUUGAUCGAAGCCCCGGUAAACGGCGGCCGUAACUAUAACGGUCCUAAGGUAGCGAAAUUCCUUGUCGGGUAAGUUCCGACCUGCACGAAUGGCGUAAUGAUGGCCAGGCUGUCUCCACCCGAGACUCAGUGAAAUUGAACUCGCUGUGAAGAUGCAGUGUACCCGCGGCAAGACGGAAAGACCCCGUGAACCUUUACUAUAGCUUGACACUGAACAUUGAGCCUUGAUGUGUAGGAUAGGUGGGAGGCUUUGAAGUGUGGACGCCAGUCUGCAUGGAGCCGACCUUGAAAUACCACCCUUUAAUGUUUGAUGUUCUAACGUGGACCCGUGAUCCGGGUUGCGGACAGUGUCUGGUGGGUAGUUUGACUGGGGCGGUCUCCUCCUAAAGAGUAACGGAGGAGCACGAAGGUUGGCUAAUCCUGGUCGGACAUCAGGAGGUUAGUGCAAUGGCAUAAGCCAGCUUGACUGCGAGCGUGACGGCGCGAGCAGGUGCGAAAGCAGGUCAUAGUGAUCCGGUGGUUCUGAAUGGAAGGGCCAUCGCUCAACGGAUAAAAGGUACUCCGGGGAUAACAGGCUGAUACCGCCCAAGAGUUCAUAUCGACGGCGGUGUUUGGCACCUCGAUGUCGGCUCAUCACAUCCUGGGGCUGAAGUAGGUCCCAAGGGUAUGGCUGUUCGCCAUUUAAAGUGGUACGCGAGCUGGGUUUAGAACGUCGUGAGACAGUUCGGUCCCUAUCUGCCGUGGGCGCUGGAGAACUGAGGGGGGCUGCUCCUAGUACGAGAGGACCGGAGUGGACGCAUCACUGGUGUUCGGGUUGUCAUGCCAAUGGCACUGCCCGGUAGCUAAAUGCGGAAGAGAUAAGUGCUGAAAGCAUCUAAGCACGAAACUUGCCCCGAGAUGAGUUCUCCCUGACCCUUUAAGGGUCCUGAAGGAACGUUGAAGACGACGACGUUGAUAGGCCGGGUGUGUAAGCGCAGCGAUGCGUUGAGCUAACCGGUACUAAUGAACCGUGAGGCUUAACCU